CUCACUCUCCCUCUCCAUUCCCCUUUCACCAAUGAAGAAAUAGUGCACCUCCCAUCUCCUUCCCAUGGGGUGGCUUCAGUCCCUCUUCUCUCCUCUGAAGAAGCUCUGGUUUCGCUUGCAUUCUGCUCGCAAAAAGAAUAGAGGGAUAUACAUCCUCUACGAGGAUGUGAAGUCAUGCCAAUGCGAAGACGUGCAUAUCUUAUGGUCGAUCCUCGUCGAAUCGCAGCCGUCGCCAUUGCGACUGAAGCAGUGAGCCCCUGCUCAUGAAUCCAUGGAAGAACACCGGCGAAGACGACGAGGUUUCUGAUGUGUGUGAUUGUAUAUACAUACUAAAUACAAAGAUAAAUGCACAGGUCAUGAGUGAGGGUGAUGAGCUCCUCCCGUGCCUCAAAUCCUUGUUUGCAGUAGUAAUAUCUGAUGUAUUCUGUGUAAUACUAAAAAGAAAACAUGACAGGGUUUGGUAGAAGGCUUGUUUUCUUUUC